rnacentral:rRNA from 1 species
UGGGGAAUUUUGGACGAAUUGGGCGAAAGCCUGAUCCAGCAAUGCCGCGUGUGUGAAGAAGGCCUUCGGGUUGUAAAGCACUUUUGUCCGGAAAGAAAUCCUUGGCUCUAAUACAGUCGGGGGAUGACGGUACCGGAAGAAUAAGCACCGGCUAACUACGUGCCAGCAGCCGCGGUAAUACGUAGGGUGCAAGCGUUAAUCGGAAUUACUGGGCGUAAAGCGUGCGCAGGCGGUUUGCUAAGACCGAUGUGAAAUCCCCGGGCUCAACCUGGGAACUGCAUUGGUGACUGGCAGGCUAGAGUAUGGCAGAGGGGGGUAGAAUUCCACGUGUAGCAGUGAAAUGCGUAGAGAUGUGGAGGAAUACCGAUGGCGAAGGCAGCCCCCUGGCAAGUACUGACGCUCAUGCACGAAAGCGU